rnacentral:sRNA from 1 species
UCACUCUGAACGCAGGCGUACAAAGCCU